AUAUAUUGGGUUAAAUAUAUUAUUAAAAUGAGUUUCAUCUUUCCUUUUUACCUUUUUAAAUGUAACAAAAAAAGAAAAAAGAAAAGACAUGUUUGUAUGCUGACUUCCUUUGGAGAGAGUGUGAUUUAGAGAAUAAGUGAUUAUAAACUUUAAAAAUUGUCACAGUAAAGUAAAAGGUGGUUAACAGACAAUUCACAAGUGUGGCUCAAAUUACAUUUCUAUUGGACAUUGCUGUUCUAGAGCAACACCUAUGAUAACUUGAGACCCCAUCUUUAAGAGUGGUCACUAAUAAUACUGAGGAGUAAAGGUAACUUCUAGCUGGCACCCUAACUUCUUAAAAACAGUAUCCUUAUUUUAUUUAUAUUAUUUUAGAGAAGAGGUCUUCCUGUGUUGCCUAGCAUGGCCUUCAACUUCUGAGCUCAGGAAAUCCUCCUGUUUCAGCUGGUGGAGUAGCUGGGACUACAGGUGCAUACUUCUGUACCCAGCCUAACUUCACAAGUUUCAGUAGGCCCAAACUCAGGCUCUGGAACCAUUAAGUAGAAUUCUACAGAUAUCUAAUGCUUAAACUUUGACUAAAGUAUUAUGUUUGAAUACAAAUUAUGAGAAUAUGGUGCAAAUGCAGUUAGGCACCAUGAAUAUGAUACUGGUCCCAUAAAAUUAGAAUGGAGCUGAAACAUUAUUAUUGCCUAGUUAUAUCAUAGCUGUCCUAAUAUCAUAACAGAAUGCAUUAUUCACGUGUUUGUGGUGAUGCUGGUGUAAAUAAACCUACUGUCCUACCAGUUGUACAAGAAUGCAGCACAGUCAGGCAUGGUGAUGCACUCCUAUAAUCCCAUCCAUUUGGGAGGCUAAUUAGGCAGGAGGAUUGCAAAUUUGAGGCCAGCCUCAACAAUUCUGUGAGGCUCUAAGCAACUUAGUGAGACUUUGUCUCAAAAUAAAAAAUGAAAAGGGGGUGCUGGGUUUGUAGCUCAGUGGAAAAGUGCUUGCCUAGCAGGUGUGAGGUACUGGGUUUGAUCUUCAGUACCACAUAAAAAUAAAUAAAUAAAAUAAAGUUAUUGUGUCCAUCUACAAUUUAAAAAAAAAAAAAGAAAGAAAAGGGCUGGGAAUGUAGCACAGUGGUUAAGCGCUCCUGAAUUCUAUCCUGGUACCCCC
rnacentral:lncRNA from 1 species